rnacentral:rRNA from 1 species
GGAAGAAUAAGCACCGGCUAACUACGUGCCAGCAGCCGCGGUAAUACGUAGGGUGCGAGCGUUAAUCGGAAUUACUGGGCGUAAAGCGUGCGCAGGCGGUUUGCUAAGACCGAUGUGAAAUCCCCGGGCUCAACCUGGGAACUGCAUUGGUGACUGGCAGGCUAGAGUAUGGCAGAGGGGGGUAGAAUUCCACGUGUAGCAGUGAAAUGCGUAGAGAUGUGGAGGAAUACCGAUGGCGAAGGCAGCCCCCUGGGCCAAUACUGACGCUCAUGCACGAAAGCGUGGGGAGCAAACAGGAUUAGAUACCCUGGUAGUCCACGCCCUAAACGAUGUCAACUAGUUGUUGGGGAUUCAUUUCCUUAGUAACGUAGCUAACGCGUGAAGUUGACCGCCUGGGGAGUACGGUCGCAAGAUUAAAACUCAAAGGAAUUGACGGGGACCCCC